GGGCCGUUAGCUCAGACUGGUUAGAGUGCCUGCUUGACAUGCAGGAGGUCACUGGUUCAACUCCAGUACGGCCCA
rnacentral:tRNA from 1 species